rnacentral:rRNA from 1 species
GAUAAACGCUGGCGGCGUGCCUAAUACAUGCAAGUCGAGCGAACGGACGAGAAGCUUGCUUCUCUGAUGUUAGCGGCGGACGGGUGAGUAACACGUGGAUAACCUACCUAUAAGACUGGGAUAACUUCGGGAAACCGGAGCUAAUACCGGAUAAUAUUUUGAACCGCAUGGUUCAAAAGUGAAAGACGGUCUUGCUGUCACUUAUAGAUGGAUCCGCGCUGCAUUAGCUAGUUGGUAAGGUAACGGCUUACCAAGGCAACGAUGCAUAGCCGACCUGAGAGGGUGAUCGGCCACACUGGAACUGAGACACGGUCCAGACUCCUACGGGAGGCAGCAGUAGGGAAUCUUCCGCAAUGGGCGAAAGCCUGACGGAGCAACGCCGCGUGAGUGAUGAAGGUCUUCGGAUCGUAAAACUCUGUUAUUAGGGAAGAACAUAUGUGUAAGUAACUGUGCACAUCUUGACGGUACCUAAUCAGAAAGCCACGGCUAACUACGUGCCAGCAGCCGCGGUAAUACGUAGGUGGCAAGCGUUAUCCGGAAUUAUUGGGCGUAAAGCGCGCGUAGGCGGUUUUUUAAGUCUGAUGUGAAAGCCCACGGCUCAACCGUGGAGGGUCAUUGGAAACUGGAAAACUUGAGUGCAGAAGAAGAAAGUGGAAUUCCAUGUGUAGCGGUGAAAUGCGCAGAGAUAUGGAGGAACACCAGUGGCGAAGGCGACUUUCUGGUCUGUAACUGACGCUGAUGUGCGAAAGCGUGGGGAUCAAACAGGAUUAGAUACCCUGGUAGUCCACGCCGUAAACGAUGAGUGCUAAGUGUUAGGGGGUUUCCGCCCCUUAGUGCUGCAGCUAACGCAUUAAGCACUCCGCCUGGGGAGUACGACCGCAAGGUUGAAACUCAAAGGAAUUGACGGGGACCCGCACAAGCGGUGGAGCAUGUGGUUUAAUUCGAAGCAACGCGAAGAACCUUACCAAAUCUUGACAUCCUUUGACAACUCUAGAGAUAGAGCCUUCCCCUUCGGGGGACAAAGUGACAGGUGGUGCAUGGUUGUCGUCAGCUCGUGUCGUGAGAUGUUGGGUUAAGUCCCGCAACGAGCGCAACCCUUAAGCUUAGUUGCCAUCAUUAAGUUGGGCACUCUAAGUUGACUGCCGGUGACAAACCGGAGGAAGGUGGGGAUGACGUCAAAUCAUCAUGCCCCUUAUGAUUUGGGCUACACACGUGCUACAAUGGACAAUACAAAGGGCAGCGAAACCGCGAGGUCAAGCAAAUCCCAUAAAGUUGUUCUCAGUUCGGAUUGUAGUCUGCAACUCGACUACAUGAAGCUGGAAUCGCUAGUAAUCGUAGAUCAGCAUGCUACGGUGAAUACGUUCCCGGGUCU